rnacentral:lncRNA from 1 species
UGUUGUAGUAGGCGUCUUGCGAGGGCACGGGAUGUACGGGACAGGCCUCUCCCUAAACAUAGAGAGAUAGUGCUAUCGUGCUGACCUUGUUGCAGAGAAAACAGGAGAAGAAGAAGGAUGAUAAAAGAAUGUGGAAAUGGCCAAAUAAGGCACAAUGUUAUCUGGUGUGAACUAAUCAGAGUGGGACAUGACAGCACGGUUAUCUAGGUAAAAUGUAUAUAAGCUGUGUUUAGUAGUGAAUAAACGCCAUUUGCCUCGCUUACUCCUGGGGUCUGGGUGAGCAUCUGGCCCCGACCUGGUAAAGGGUCGGUUUCGCCCAGCAGUAAGCCCUACAUGUGGACAGAGGACGAACACCGGACGAGCGAACGGAG